rnacentral:lncRNA from 1 species
AGGGGACAUUGUUUUGAAAGACAGAUCAAGGGCAUAGUUAAAGGAAACAAACUCUAAUUGCUAAAUUUUAAACAUGUGAGACUCCCUGCUCAAAGGCAGCUGGUCUCCUGUCUUGACUUUGCUGAGAGCAAAGUGGGCCUCCACUGACCUUGACACUCUCUAAGGUGAAGCUGAUCUCUGAAAACAGACGUCACUGCUGAAGCAGCCUGCCACAUCAGUGCCUCACCUUGGUUCUUCUCCAGCAAUUAACAUUUACUUUAUUGGUCCUGGAGGCAGGAAGGAAGCCCUCAAAGUCCCAAACUCUGUAAAUACCCAUUUCCAUGUCUGCCCAACAUCCCAGAACCAUAUUACUGAUAUCCAACCAGAUUUUGUGUCGGCUCAGCUGGACUAGAAAUGUUCCAUUUAAAACCAAGAAGCAAUAGGUUUCCUGGGCUGCAAAGACAGACCUUCGAGGAGGCCACAUGGUAUGGCUGAAGUUGCAUGUUCUGCUACCUUUGAGCUUGCAAACCCUUGGAGACAGGUGGUCACGUGAAGGUGCAGAGAAAAAAAGUGGAACAGCUGUGGUCUGUCAUCUCCCGAGCCCAUCCACCUGGGAGUUUGGAAGAGAUAUUUAGGACAGGAUUUUCAUCUGCCAAAAAGUGCUUAAGCUGAAGGCAAAAAAAGUAAGUCUUCCUUCCACCCAAGCCUUUGCUCUGUGAGUGUCUAGCACGCUGGGCUGGCAGCACAGCUGAGACUAGGCUAGCUUUAAUUAAUCUUGAGAAUGAACCCUGGAGAUCAGACUUCUGUUCCUCAGAGGAAGACAUAACAAUACUCUCUUCUCCAUCACACACUGGCUGAUACUUAAGCAAACAAGAUGAGCCAAGGUAGAUAUCCCAAGCCACGGAAAUGAACAAGCAGGACCAUGGACAAAGGGAAGGUUUCCUUUCUGUUUAAGAGACUCUUUUGCGGAGGUGUGCUCACGGGCAAGGAAGACAGCGGCCAUUCAUUUUCUCACUGGCAGAGUAUCACAGCUUCCCCAUAGCGUUCAGCCUUGGAUUUGUAUUAAGAAGCAUGGUCCGGGGGACCAGGGGGAAGAAAUGUCUGUUAAGAUGCUGUCAUUGAUGAGACUCAAUUUAAGAAUUAUUUUCAGUGAUUUUUCUAUGAAGAAAUUGUAUCAUUUUUCUUAUGCAAAAAUGUUGCUGUUAGCAGUACAAGUGCUUCAUGCCAAUGGACCGGUGGGGGUGAUUUGCAGGAAGCCGUCACACCCUUUUGCCAACCCUUUUUGCUGGUGGUGUUGAAUUGAGGCAGGGACAGCUGGCUGGGGCUGGGCAUGCUAGGCAUGCAGUCUGUGAUCUAGCAUGGAAUUCUCUGGGUAAAAAACUAGUUUAUGCAUAAUGUCCUCCUCCCUAUCGUGGCAGCAGUCUAGAAAAAAUGACUAACUGGCCAGGCGGGGUGGCUCAUCCCUGCUAAAGCUUCAUCUACACGUCCAGUAUUACCCAACUCUGUUACUGAAACACAAGCUAACAUCAUUCAACAUAGGCCACAAUAUCAUAUUAUUUUUCCCAAUAUCUUUUUCACUGAGUCCACUUAGGUUUAAUCAGCACUUAACUACCCAUGCUAAUGGCGGGUAAGUAGCAGCUUGCAUAACCCAAGUGAUCAGAUACUCUGAAAUCAAUGGGGUGCAUUACUUUUUAUUCCCUCCCAGCACCCAGCAGAUUUGUCUUCAUCAUUAAAUAUGGAAUGGAGACUAAAAUUUUUGAAUUAAAAUGAUGUUAACCUUUAAAUUAGCAUGUUGAUUCUCUCUUUUAGAUAAAAGAGAACCAGAGAGCAAGUUAUCUUUGAAACAGAUACUUCAAAAAGUAGAGAAUAGCUUUCCCUAUGGUAGAAACCUAACUGUGUAUUUGGAUGGAAUUAUAGCAUCAGAUUUAAAGGCCUGUCUUUUAGCCUUAGAAUGGUCAUCCUGCUGAUGAAGACCCACAGAUGCCUGGGUCUGCGUUUCAUUUUCAGGUUACAGGUGGCUGCUUUGGACUCUGGCCUCCCUACAGGCAGUUUCUCUGGUUGCAGGGUCAUGGGUACUAUAGAAUUAGUCUUUGUUUUUUUUUUUUGAGAUGAAGUUUCGCUCUUGUUGCCCAGGCUGGAGUGCAAUGGCACGAUCUCAGCUCACCGCAAUCUCCACCUCCUGGGUUCAAGCCAUUCUCCUGUCUCAGCCUCCCAAGUAGCUGGGAUUACAGGCGCCCGCCACCAUGCCUGGGUAAUUUUUUGUAUUUUUAGUAGAGACAGGGUUUCACCAUGUUGGCCAGGCUGGUCUUGAACUCUUGACCUCAGGCAAUCCACCCACCUCAGCCUCCCAAAGUGUGGGAUUACAGGCAUAAGCCACCACGCCCGGCCUGUAGAAUUAGUCUUCUCUGCCUUGAAAUUAUUUCUACCAAUUCUUGGUCCCUUGGAAUCAUUUCCCUAAAACUCAGCAUUUAUUCAAGGACCCUGGAACAUCUUAUGUUAUAAUAAUUGUAAAGUUAGGUCUAAAGCAUUUUCUUCCAAAUCUUUGCUUGUUUUUGUUUAAAAAAAAAAAUCACACUUCGCUAAACAUGGCUGCUAGGAAGCCCUGAGCUGAACUUACAGUUGACCUUACUUUUACUAAUGGUGUGGGAUUUUCCUGCAUGCAAUUUCUGCCACAACUUUUUCUGUAGUCUUGUUUUAUAACUAUACCUCUUUUUAUUUUUGUAUGGAUUUAUCUAUCCAAAAUCUUAUUGAACAUAUUUUUCUGAGCCACAGGAAGUACUUUUGGGAGUGAGGUGGUGUGAAUUUAUACAGAACAAAAGCAGCACAUUAAGAAGGACACCCACAGGUGGAGCACUUAGUCACUCCCACCGGCCAACAGCGCUUGCUUAGGGAGCCGGAUGAGGAAAGCUCAUUUAAAAAUAUGGUAACAUCUAUGUGUGAGAUGCUGAGUGAUGCUCUCAGAUGAAACCCAAAGAUGAUGACAUCCUUGCAGACACCCAGGUGUGUAUUUCUUCAUACUCUAGAAAAUGAUCAGUCAAUGAAAUGGAUAUUGUCUCUUUUCUUAUCGCUUGUAAAUGUCAGUUUGGGGAACGAAAAAAAUGCCACUUUAUGGUGUGAAGUGCCUGUCUACAAUAGUCCUUGCAGAGCGGCUCAGUGAGUCCAUGGCAUUAAAGAUAUGACAGUUACUAUGUAUACAGUCAGUGAGGAAGGCAGCACAGCAGUAUCUCCGAGAGGUGGGGCCCCACCAACACUCACACCACACCCCCUGCACGCUGCAUAUUCAUUGGCAGGUGAGGGUGCUUUUGUUUUGUGAACAAUGUCUUCUGGUCUUUAGUACGCAUUGUGGUUUUCCUUUUUUUUUUUUUUUUUUUUUUUUUUUUUUUUUUUUGAGACUGAGUUUUGCUCUUGUUGCUCAGGCUAGAGUGCAGUGGCACAAUCUCAGCUUACUGCAACCUCCACCUCCCAAGUUCAAGUGAUUCUCCUGCCUCAGCCUCCCGAGCAGCUAGGAUUACAGGCACGUGACACCACGCCCGACUAAUUUACAUAUUUUUAGUAGUGAUGGGGUUUCACCAUGUUGGCCAGGCUGGUCUCGAACUCCUGACCUCGGGUGAUCCACCCACCUCGGCCUCCCAAAGUGCUGGGAUUACAGGUGUAAGCCACCACGCCCGGCCAUGCAUUGUGGUUUUCUUAAUGCCCAGCUUUGUAUGAAGUCCUCUAAAGUCCCCUUUGAGGAGUCGUCGAAUUACAUUUCCAUUUUCUUUCAUUAGGAAGCUAUGUCUGGCCUGAAAAAUAAAAACAAUUUUAUGGUUUCUCAUAAAGGUGUAAUUUUGCUUCACUCUUAUUCACUUAUUUUCACGAUGGAGAGAAUGAAAUUGUUUCCCCACAGGAAUCAUAGUCCAUUUUUUGCCUUUCAUGUUAGUGAUUUUUCCCCCUCAUAGCUCCCUAAGAAAAACUAAAGCAAUUUGAAAAGAAAAAAAUGCAAUCUUAUAACAAAGUUGGCUUUGUCUUGAUAAAUACAAUGAUGGAUGACCACAACCACUUAAGUCCUUUUGGGCAAAUGAAUAAUUCUCUGACUAUAUCUGAGAAGUGGAAACACAUGAAUUUACAUUCUGGUUCUUCAAAUAUCUUCUCCCUUUCCCUUCUUACAUUGACCUCACUUGCCUGAAAUUAAUGAAGCAAAUCCCCAAGGGCAGAGGCUAGAAGGUUUGUGAGGCUUGAAGCUUAUACGAGGUUCCUCUUUAAGAAAAACAAUACAAACAUAUCUUACUUUCACAAUUUUUUACAAAAACAUAUGACCACAUGAACAUACUGCCCAAGUCCCUCCUGGGCCUUGGCAAGGCCCGUGCAAGAGAGAUCCCUGAAGCUUGAACUUUAUUGGCUUCACGGUAAGUCCAUUUCUGCGGGCAGUGUGUUGUGGCAAAUGUCCAUCUACACUAUGCAUACUCGAAUUUGCUACUUGUGUAUGUAAACACAGGAACGUAGGUAAUGCCUAUACAGAGAAUAAAUAGGAAUAUACAAGUAUACAUAUAAAAACACAAGAUUACAUAUUGAGUUUUCAAUACACAAACACACAGAUACUUAUUUUUUUCUAUUUUUGUUGUUUCUAAAGAUCAUAUCCAGGCAUGAUCCCUCUUCUCCAGACUUUGAAUUGUCUACCUGCAUUUCAGUGUUCGCUUUAAGGGGGAGGUAAUCAAUUUAGCACAUUAUCAUUCAAUCAGACAAGCUGACUCAAACACCGUUCUCUGAAUUGGACUCAUGCUGAGCAAUCCUCUAUUCUAGAAGCCAGGUGUGAGGGGUGGGAGGCAGGAAGCCAGUGUGGGUAGGGAGCCCAUUGCCAGUAGACAGAGCAUGGCUUGGUUCUUUCCCACCCCCCAAGCAGUUCAGAUACUGGUUUGGAGGUCUCCAUUGAGGAGGGUCCUCUGGGUCUCCGUGGUCUCAUUCAGCCGGGAUUUGUCCUGCUUACUGUCACUCCGCUCCCCAUCAUCUGUGCCGCUCACCUUGACCAAGCAGAGGACAUUCUGGAAGCUCUUCUUGAAGUUGUCAGACAAGAAGGCAUAUAGGAUAGGGUUGGCACAGCUGUUAGCAUAGGUGAGGACCACCACAAAGUCAAACAUGCCUUUAAGGGCUGGGGUGGGGCUGAUGGCCAUGGAGACGGAAGAAACGUUGAAUAUGUAGAAGGGAAGCCAGCAGAAGAUGAAGACAGCCACCACGAUGGACACCAUUCGGGUGACCUUCUUCUCAGACUUCUUCCUCUUAGAGGAGCCCACUCGGAUUCCAGAGGACUUCACCUUGAUGAUAAUGAACAGGUAGCAAAGACAGAUGAUGGUGAGGGGUACCAGGAACCCCAGAAUGAAAGUGUAGAUGAUGAACCCUGUGUACCAAGCCCCAGAUUCACCUGGCCAGUUGAUGGUGCAGCUGCUUCUCCCCCACUGGUUGCUCCGGAGCCCAGCAUAUAUCAUGAUGGGCAAGAUGACCAGCAGAGAGACUCCCCACACAGCCAUGGUGAUCAUCUUGGCCGUCCGGGGUCUCCUCCACUUGGCCGACUUGAUGGGGUGGACCACAGCCAGGUAUCGGUCGAUGCUCAUGACUGUCAGGCAGAAGAUGCUGGUGAACUGAUUGAUGCCAUCCACAGUCAUGACCACCCGGCAAAUGGCCUUGCCAAAGGGCCAGUGGACCAGAGCCACCUGCAUAGCCAAGAAAGGCAGACCCAGCAUGAAGAGCUCAUCUGCGAUGGCCAGGUUGAGGAUGUAAAUGUUGGUGAUGGUCUUCAUCUUGGCAUAGCGGAGGAUGACAUAAAUGACAAGUGUGUUGCCACACAACCCAAUGAUGCAGACCACAAAAUAGAUGAAUGUGAGGACUGCAUUGCUUGUCAGGUCAUAGUACGGCUCUGUCUGGUUUGAGGUGUUGGUUGACACCACAGAGCCAUUGAGGUCAAAUGGAAUGGAUAGCCAUGUGUGGCUUCCAUUGAGUGGCUCAUCCGCCAUGUCCAUGGCUGCUUUUCAGUCUUAGGCUAGUUCCAGCCAGCCCAGAGAUCUUAUUCUCACCUUAAUGGACCCUGGAGGCCAAGGAUCCAGUGUGACAUCUGGAAGGAAAAGAGGAAGAUUGGCCCGUCGGUCACAGGCUGUUUAAAGUCUCACCAAAUUUACACAUUUCUGGUUUAGCCUCUCAGACAUACUCUUAAAUUGAAAAAUGUAUUAUCUUUCCACAUCAACAUUAAGCUCUAGAGUUCCUCAUCAGUGUGCAGACUUUUUGAGUUGUUUUUCCAAUAGUAGGGAAGGGUUUGGGUUCAGCCAUCAUCUGCUGACGCACAUGUCGGGGAGGGCUGUGGCUUCAAAAAGCACAUACUUUGACCCCUAAGAAGUUGACUGAUCUAAACUGCAGAAAGGCAGAGCUUGGAGAAGUUCAGCGCCUGACCUCAGAAGGGUCUGACACUGACAUUCCUGGCCUCUUCCCUACCAGGAAAUCUAUGCUGACUUGCUGACUGCCUUGGAGUCUUUCCAUUCUGAAAAUGCCAUAGUGGAAAAAACCCAGACUCUAGAGGCAGAACAAACCGGGUUCCACUGCUGAGCCCGUGUGACCACAUGCCUGGUCCUUAAUGGUUCUGACUCUUAUUUCUUCACAUGGGGGCGUCAUGAAGGUUAAAUGAUGGAAUAUAUGUGAAAAUGCCUAGCCUUGCGUUGGGCUCAUAAUGGGAACCUCGUAAGUUGUUUCCCCCCAUGUUUUCC